rnacentral:rRNA from 1 species
UACGUAGGGGGCAAGCGUUGUCUGGAUUUAUUGGGCGUAAAGAGCGUGUAGGCGGCCAGGUAGGUCAGCUGUGAAAACUCGAGGCUCAACCUCGAGACGCCGGUUGAAACCAUCUGGCUAGAGUCCGGAAGAGGAGAGUGGAAUUCCUGGUGUAGCGGUGAAAUGCGCAGAUAUCAGGAAGAACACCCGUGGCGAAGGCGGCUCUCUGGGACGGUACUGACGCUGAGACGCGAAAGCGUGGGGAGCGAACAGG